rnacentral:rRNA from 1 species
AGUGAACGCUGGCGGUAGGCCUAACACAUGCAAGUCGAACGGCAGCACAGUAAGAGCUUGCUCUUACGGGUGGCGAGUGGCGGACGGGUGAGGAAUACAUCGGAAUCUACUUUUUCGUGGGGGAUAACGUAGGGAAACUUACGCUAAUACCGCAUACGACCUACGGGUGAAAGCAGGGGAUCUUCGGACCUUGCGCGAUUGAAUGAGCCGAUGUCGGAUUAGCUAGUUGGCGGGGUAAAGGCCCACCAAGGCGACGAUCCGUAGCUGGUCUGAGAGGAUGAUCAGCCAACGGGGAACGAGGACACGGUCCAAACUCCGGCGGGAGGCAGCGGUGGGGAAUAUUGGAAAAGGGGCGGAAGCGGAUACCAGCCAAACCGGGGGGGUGAAGAAGGCCUUCGGGGUGUAAAGCCCUUUUGUUGGGAAAGAAAAGAAGCAGGUUAAUCCCCCGGUGUUUUGACGGUGCCCAAAAAAAAAGCCCCGGCUAAUUUGUG